UUUUAUGGAGAGUUUGAUCCUGGCUCAGGAUUAACGCUGGCGGUACGUCUAAUACAUGCAAGUCGAACGGAGCACUUGUGCUCAGUGGCGAACGGGUGAGUAACACGUAGGUAACCUGCCCUCAAGACGAGGAUAACAGUUGGAAACGAUUGCUAAUACUGGAUAGUAAUAGAAAAGGCAUCUAGACUAUUUUAAAGGUCCUUAUGGGACUACUUGAGGAGGGGCCUGCGGCGCAUUAGUUAGUUGGUGAGGUAACGGCUCACCAAGACGAUGAUGCGUAGCUGGACUGAUAGGUUGAACAGCCACACUGGGACUGAGAACGGCCCAGACUCCUACGGGAGGCAGCAGUAGAGAAUCUUCGGCAAUGGGGGGAACCCUGACCGAGCGAUACCGCGUGAAUGAAGAAAUACUUCGGUAUGUAAAGUUCUUUUAUAGAGGAUGAAUGACAUAUGUAGGAAAUGACAUAUGUAUGACAGUACUUUAGGAAUAAGCCCCGGCUAACUAUGUGCCAGCAGCCGCGGUAAUACAUAGGGGGCAAGCGUUAUCCGGAAUUAUUGGGCGUAAAGGGUGCGUAGGCGGCCAUUUAAGUUUGAGGUGUAAGUUCAAGGCUCA
rnacentral:rRNA from 1 species